AAUGAACGCUGGCGGCAGGCCUAACACAUGCAAGUCGAACGGAUCCUUCGGGAUUAGUGGCGGACGGGUGAGUAACGCGUGGGAACAUACCCAAAGGUACGGAAUAGCCUCGGGAAACUGGGAGUAAUACCGUAUGUGCUCGAAAGAGGAAAGAUUUAUCGCCUUUGGAUUGGCCCGCGUUGGAUUAGGUGGUUGGUGGGGUAAUGGCCUACCAAGCCGACGAUCCAUAGCUGGUUUGAGAGGAUGAUCAGCCACACUGGGACUGAGACACGGCCCAGACUCCUACGGGAGGCAGCAGUGGGGAAUCUUAGACAAUGGGGGAAACCCUGAUCUAGCCAUGCCGCGUGAUCGAUGAAGGCCUUAGGGUUGUAAAGAUCUUUCAGGUCGGAAGAUAAUGACUGUACCACCAGAAGAAGCCCCGGCUAACUCCGUGCCAGCCGCCGCGGUAA
rnacentral:rRNA from 1 species